GAUGAACGCUGGCGGCGUGCCUAAUACAUGCAAGUCGAGCGGUAAGGCCCUUCGGGGUACACGAGCGGCGGACGGGUGAGUAACGCGUAAGAAUCUACCCCAAACUGAGGGAUAAGCACCAGAAAUGGUGUCUAAUACCGCAUGUGCUCUACGGAGUAAAGCUACGGCGGUUUGGGAAGAGCUUGCGGAUGAUUAGCUAGUUGGUAAGGUAAUGGCUUACCAAGGCGACGAUCAUUAGCUGGUCUGAGAGGAUGAUCAGCCACACUGGGGCUGAGACACGGCCCAGACUUCUACGGGAGGCAGCAGUAGGGAAUUUUCCACAAUGGGGGCAACCCUGGUGGAGCAACGCCGCGUGCAGGAUGAAGGCCUUCGGGUUGUAAACUGCUUUUGUCUGUGACGAAUAUGACGGUAGCAGACGAAUAAGGAUCGGCUAACUACGUGCCAGCAGCCGCGGUAA
rnacentral:rRNA from 1 species